rnacentral:tRNA from 1 species
GUCUUCGUGGUGUAAAGGUAGCACAAUCGGCACGUAUUGGAAAGGUUCAGGUUCGAGUCCUGGUGAGGACA